AUUGAACGCUGGCGGCAGGCCUAACACAUGCAAGUCGAGCGGAGCGGCGGACGGGUGAGUAAUGCCUAGGAAUCUGCCUGGUAGUGGGGGAUAACGUCCGGAAACGGGCGCUAAUACCGCAUACUAUCAGAUGAGCCGAGGUCGGAUUAGCUAGUUGGUGGGGUAAAGGCCUACCAAGGCGACGAUCCGUAACUGGUCUGAGAGGAUGAUCAGUCACACUUGACCUGAGACACGGUCCAUCCUCCUACGUGAGGCAGCAGUGGUGAAUAUUGGACAAGUUGCUAAAGCCUGAUCCAGCCAUUCCGCGUGUGUGAAGAAGGUCUUCGGAUUGUAUAGCACUUUAGGUUGGGAGGCGUUACCAACAGAAUAUGCACCGGCUAACUUCGUGCCAGCAGCCGCGGUAAUAC
rnacentral:rRNA from 1 species